AGAAAACGCCGCCACCUGUAGUUAUAAAAAAAAAAAAAAAAAAAUGAAGAAAAAAAAAGUAUUUUUGAUUAAAAAUAAAAAUCCGUAUCCCGAUGGGGGUUACCCCGGCAUGACGCCAUCAUUGAAAUCCCAACAUUAGCUCGCGUUUCUCGCGGCGGCGGGCGCCUACCGCGGUUACGAUAUUAAUAAAUAAUAAUAUUCGUAUCCCGAAACGCAAC